GAUGAACGCUGGCGGCGUGCCUAAUACAUGCAAGUCGAGCGAACGGACGAGAAGCUUGCUUCUCUGAUGUUAGCGGCGGACGGGUGGGUAACACGUGGAUAACCUACCUAUAAGACUGGGAUAACUUCGGGAAACCGGAGCUAAUACCGGAUAAUAUUUUGAACCGCAUGGUUCAAAAGUGAAAGACGGUCUUGCUGUCACUUAUAGAUGGAUCCGCGCUGCAUUAGCUAGUUGGUAAGGUAACGGCUUACCAAGGCAACGAGGCAUAGCCGACGGGAGAGGGGGGUCGCCGACACGGGAACUGAGCCGCGGUCCAGACUCCUACGGGAGGCAGCAGUAGGGAACCGUCCGCAACGGGCGAAAGCCUGACGGAGCGACGCCGCGUGAGUGAUGAAGGUGUUCGGUGCGUAAAACUCUCUUAUGAGUGAAGAACAUAUGUGUAAGGAACUGUGCACAGCUUGACGGUACCUAAUCAGAAAGCCCCGGCUAACUACGUG
rnacentral:rRNA from 1 species